AACGAACGCUGGCGACAGGCUUAACACAUGCAAGUCGAACGCCCCGCAAGGGGAGUGGCAGACGGGUGAGUAACGCGUGGGAAUCUACCCAGAUCUACGGAACAACUGAGGGAAACUUCAGCUAAUACCGUAUACGCCCUACGGGGGAAAGAUUUAUCGGAUUUGGAUGAGCCCGCGUAAGAUUAGCUAGUUGGUGAGGUAAUGGCUCACCAAGGCGACGAUCUUUAGCUGGUCUGAGAGGAUGAUCAGCCACACUGGGACUGAGACACGGCCCAGACUCCUACGGGAGGCAGCAGUGGGGAAUAUUGGACAAUGGGCGCAAGCCUGAUCCAGCCAUGCCGCGUGAGUGAUGAAGGCCUUAGGGUUGUAAAGCUCUUUCAGUAGGGAAGAUAAUGACGGUACCUACAGAAGAAGCCCCGGCUAACUUCGUGCCAGCCGCCGCAGUAAUAC
rnacentral:rRNA from 1 species